rfam:Oryctolagus cuniculus cont2.35944, whole genome shotgun sequence.
AAUGUGCCCUUUCUCUCUUGACAUUUUAGCAGCUGUCAGUAAAUAUUGAUUUGCCCCCAGUUUACCUGCUGCCUGGCUGGCCACUGGCAGACUCGGGGACCGGCUUCGGGAAGGAACUUGAAUUUUGUAUGACUUUCAGGCCCUUUCAGCUCUCCCUAAACCUUCCCUCUGAGUGGCAUUGUAAAACACAGUGACAAAGAGACAGAGUAGGGCUUGAGGCCCCAGUUCCUGGGGACUGCAGGGCGGUUUCACAUACGGUCAGACACGGCUGGAGGCCAAGGUCAAGUUGAAAGUUGCAGUCUAGCCAGCGUGAGAACUUCCAUGCAAGCCCGGAGACCCUGGUGGCCGCAAAAGGCCCAAUCGCCCACCUCCCCUCA